GGAGCCAGGAAUUGAGAGCUGUCUUAGCCA
rnacentral:piRNA from 1 species